UCUGGUUGAUCCUGCCAGUAGUUAUAUGCUUGUCUCAAAGAUUAAGCCAUGCAUGUCUAAGUACAAGCGAAAAUAAAGUGAAACCGCAAAAGGCUCAUUAUAUCAGUUAUGGUUCCUUAGAUCGUAUCCACAAUUACUUGGAUAACUGUGGUAAUUCUAGAGCUAAUACAUGCAUUUAAAGAGAAACCGGUAAAAUGGGUUCUCUGCUUUUAUUAGAUUUAAACCAAUGGGGAGUGCUUCGGCGCUUUCAAAUUGAAAUGGUUGAACUCUGGAUAAUUUGUUGAUCGCAUGGUCUUGUACCGGCGACGGAUCUUUCAAAUGUCUGCCCUAUCAACUAUUGAAGGUAGUGUCUUGGACUACCUUGGUUGCAACGGGUAACGGGGAAUCAGGGUUCGAUUCCGGAGAGGGAGCCUGAGAAACGGCUACCACAUCUAAGGAAGGCAGCAGGCGCGUAAAUUACCCACUCCCGGCACGGGGAGGUAGUGACGAAAAAUAACAAUACAAGACUCACAUCCGAGGCCUUGUAAUUGGAAUGAGUACACUUUAAAUCCUUUCACAAGGAUCAAUUGGAGGGCAAGUCUGGUGCCAGCAGCCGCGGUAAUUCCAGCUCCAAUAGCGUAUAUUAAAGUUGUUGCGGUUAAAACGUUCGUAGUUGAAUUUGUGUUUCGCACGGGCAGUACCUAGGACUAGGCAACUAGGACGGUACUUUGUCUUAUCUUUCCAAAUUCUUCAUCGGAUUUGGAAAAAGUGCGUGAACGUAUUAUCGGCGCGUUCGCGUCCGCUCCGGCGGCACGUUCGCAUAAGCUCAUUGCACUGCUCUUAGCCGAGUGUUGUUGUGGGCCGAUACACAUUACUUUGAACAAAUUAGAGUGCUUAAAGCAGGCUUGUAUGCCAGAAUAUUUCGUGCAUGGAAUAAUGGAAUAGGACAUCUGUUCUACUUUUAUUGGUUUUUUAGACCAAGAUGUAAUGAUUAAUGGAAGCAGUUGGGGGCAUUAGUAUUACAACGCGAGAGGUGAAAUUCUUAGACCGUUGUAAGACUGACUAAAGCGAAAGCAUUUGCCAAAGAUGUUUUCAUUUAAUCAAGAACGAAAGUUAGAGGUUCGAAGGCGAUCAGAUACCGCCCUAGUUCUAACCAUAAACGAUGCCAGCUAGCAAUUGGAUGUAGCUACUACUAUGGCUCUUUCAGUCGCUUCUCGGGAAACCAAAGCUUAUGGGCUCCGGGGGAAGUAUGGUUGCAAAGCUGAAACUUAAAGGAAUUGACGGAAGGGUACCAC
rnacentral:rRNA from 1 species